UCCUACGGGAGGCAGCAGUGGGGAAUAUUGGACAAUGGGCGAAAGCCUGAUCCAGCCAUGCCGCGUGUGUGAAGAAGGCCUUUUGGUUGUAAAGCACUUUUGUCCGGAAAGGAGUGGCUCUGGUUAAUACCUGGGGUCGAUGACGGUACCGGAAGAAUAAGGACCGGCUAACUACGUGCCAGCAGCCGCGGUA
rnacentral:rRNA from 1 species